AUGCGCCGCGGCCCUCGCCACCGCCAGUUGGACAGCACGCUGGGCUCCUCCCUCCAGCUGAGCCUUUCUCCCCUCCUCCUCCCACCCAGGGUCCGCGUGGCGGGGCGCGCGCGCACUCUGGCUCGUUGGCUGCCCGUCUCCCAUGCCGCAGCAGUAAGGAGGGAGGGGCGGGGCUGUUUCCUUUGGGGCCCCGCCCCCUCUGCCCGGGCGUACCUACCGCGCCUGCGCCCUCCCGCCCGGUCUCCAUCUUGGAAUUGGGAGGAAGAGGGAGAGGGAGACUGGGACGAGACCGGGCUGUGGUGCGGAGAGAGGCUGAGACUGAAGAGAGGGAGAGAGGGCGCGGGGACCGCCCAUAGCCAUAAUCUUUCUGCUACCCUCAGGAGAGAAAAGGGGAAAGGGAGGAGGCCUGCGCGGGAGUGGGGGCUGUCACCGUCGGACCCUGGCGUGAGAGGGGCCGUGCGGCCGAACGUCCCCGGGGUGGGCCCCCUGUCGGUGGCCGAAGACCUGGGUCUCAGGCCCUUCCGUCCCGAAUUUCCGGGCUUGACCUCUCGCUUCUCAAAUAUCCGGGUAGCAACCCCUCAGAUUCCAGAUAUCCCGGACUUGGGUCCCAACCUCUCUAAACCUGGGGCUCUGUUUCAUAGGAUCUCGAAUACCUGGGGUUCAGGCCCCUGCGUGCACCGGUAUCCGGGGUUCAUUCCCCACGCGUUCAAAUACCAGAUUCUGCCUCCCUCCGUUCAAAUAUCUGGGGUUCAGACCCCACAAUCAGAAAUCCGGGAUUCAGCAACUAUCGCCCUCGAGGAGGAGGAGGACUGGACCGCGAGGUCAGAUCAGGUUGUCACCCCCUCCCCUCCAGGGGAGGCUUCCCGGGCCCGCCCCUCAGGAGGGGCGAAAGCCGAGGAAGAGGUGGCAAGGGGAAAGGUCUCCUUGCCCCUCUCCCUGCUUGGCAGAGCCGCUGGAGGACCCCAGGAGGAGGCGGAGGCGCUGGGGCAUCAUAGUGACCCCUACCAGGUGAGACACGGGGUACAGGGGCGCGGUUCCCUGUGUCUAGCGUUGAGAAGAAAGGGUACCCCUUUCUGA
rnacentral:lncRNA from 1 species